rnacentral:rRNA from 1 species
ACUCCUACGGGAGGCAGCAGUGGGGAAUAUUGGGCAAUGGACGCAAGUCUGACCCAGCGACGCCGCGUAAAGGACGAAGGCAUUCGUGUUGUAAACUUCUUUGGAGAGGGACGAAAUUGACGGUACCUCUCGAACAAGCCACGGCUAACUACGUGCCAGCAGCCGCGGUAAU